UACGGAGGGGGCUAGCGUUGUUCGGAAUUACUGGGCGUAAAGCGCACGUAGGCGGACUGUUAAGUCGGGGGUGAAAUCCUGGGGCUCAACCUCAGAAUUGCCUCCGAUACUGGCAGUCUCGAGUGCGGGAGAGGUGAGUGGAAUUCCCAGUGUAGAGGUGAAAUUUCGUAGAUAUUGGGAAGAACACCAGUGGCGAAGGCGGCUCACUGGCCCGUAACUGACGCUGGAGGCACGAAAGCGUGGGGAGCGAUCGG
rnacentral:rRNA from 1 species